GCUGGUGAGUUCUAGAAUCAAUGAGAACAAAAGAAAAACAAAAAAAGAAAGGUGAACUCAAUAUGUUGAAUAGGGAUGUAAUGGAAGCAAAAAAGGACCGAGAGAGAGAGUUAGCUGCUGGAAAUCCAACUCAAGAGUUCAAGAAGAAGAAGAAAUAAGGAAGGAAAAGCAAGGAAAGGUGUGGAAUUAAAGGGGAGCUCAAGAAUUUAUCAAAGAUUCAUCAAAUUCAAGAGUUUAGGUGAUCAGGUGCGUGACUAGGCCUAGAGGUUCUACCUGGACUUUGUUUUGUCAGCCAAUCUAUGUGCCUCCCAUGGAGAGGCCUUCGGUAAUCCCAUGAUUACUGGCCAGUUACGAUGCUAAACCUAUAGGGGCGGGUUUUGGUUGUGACACCUAAUUAUGGCGAAGCCAACACUAAGUUGAUCGAAGUGGCCCAAUGCUUGAAAGAGGGUAAGAGUUGCAUUGCUCUAGCUUUGGUCGAAACUUUGAUGGGUGUAGAUGCUUUUCACAUGUGAGAGACUACUCUGCUCGCAGGGAGACCACUGGUACUCCAGGGAUGGCUAAUAGAUAAGUUGAAAGUGGUGGACCCUUGCCCUAUGUAUUCAGCCAGAGCUUACUUUUUUCACCAACGGCUAGUGGAUUUUCCCACAGAGGAAUGGUUGUGCAACUGGAUGUGCAGCAGAUCUGCGGCUGAUAUUACCUGGUGUUGCCUCUAGCUUAAUUUGGCUGAGAUGAGCUACAGCAUGUCCCAACAACUGGGCAUAUAGUUGAUUGGCAUCACACACUGCAUGUUUUAUAUCCCUUUCUGGUUCAGACGCCAGUUUGGACAUGACCAGGCCCAACCAGAAGAGGGGGUGGAAUACCCAACUUCAUUUCCCAUUUGUGUUGCGCACCUGACUCAGUACCUCACUGCUUGGAGGACAAGAGAAAUGCUGGCCCUUGUCCCUAGCUUUAGUUGCGCCCUUUCCGGCGAGUGCUUGGCUUGGCUUGAAGAAGAGGCACAUGUUGGGCCAACUUUGACUGUAAAGACUUCUGCAAGCACGAGUAGAGGACGCAGGAACACCUAACUCACCUAUGCCCCUAGUUUAUUACUCUGACCUUUCUUUUCAAGUUUUAUGAUGUAAAAGCAACUUUAAUUUAAAUCAGAGAGUUGGAGAAUGUACUUUGUGUUGAA